AAUAAAAAACGAUGGUGCAUUAUUCUAGUCGUACUAGUAAUUGCGAGGGUGGGGCUAAAAAUCCACUAAAGGGCAUACCGAUGAAGCUCCUUGUUUGUGCGCGAAAUGCCAGUUUUGUGUGUGAGUAGGGUAGAUAGGAACCAGGGUAUGGCAUAAUGGCAUAUGCAGGAUUCCCUUGUUUCGUUGAGACUUAAAUUUAUAAUUUAAGUAAAACCUAUGGUGAGUGCCAAGACACGAAAUACAUAGAGUAGCCUGUCUUGAGUGAAUGUAUUGGGAUUAAUUUGUUAACUUAAUUAUGAAAUUGCAUUUGCAAAAAAGACUAGCAAUAAAACGUAGUAUGUUAAGGAAAACUUCUAGAAUGUUUGCUUUAAAAAAGAGGCAUAGAAAUCUGAGGAUUAAGGUACGGAUUUAAGUGGCGAUCUAGUGUCUACUGCAAUAUGUAGAUGUUCUUUUAAAUGGAAACAGCUAUGUAGUAAUAUAUAGUAAAGGAUAGAGAAAUUCAACUAGACCUAAACCGUAAAAUUUACUCAGGUUUUACCAUCUUGAUAAAAU
rnacentral:sRNA from 1 species